rnacentral:rRNA from 1 species
CAAUAGCGUAUAUUAAAGUUGCUGCAGUUAAAAAGCUCGUAGUUGCAUUUCCGAGGUAAGGGAUUAGUCCGACCUUUGGUGGGUAUUUAAUCCUCUUGCCUCGUCCUUGAGUGGUGCUUCUUGGUAUUAAGUUAUCGAGGAGAUAGCCGCUCAUCGUUUACUGUGAGAAAAUUAGAGUGUUCAAAGCAGGCUUAUGCCGUUGAAUAUAUUAGCAUGGAAUAAUAAGAUAGGACCUCGGUACUAUUUUGUUGGUUUGAGAACCAAGGUAAUGAUGAAUAGGGACAGUUGGGGGUAUUCGUAUUCAGUUGUCAGAGGUGAAAUUCUUAGAUUUACGGAAGACGAACUACUGCGAAAGCAUUUACCAAGGAUGUUUUCAUUAA